UCAAUGCUUUCACGUGUUCUUUAUAUGCAGCUACAAUUAACGUAUCGUUGUCGUGUUGUCGAUUGAUUUAUGAUUCAGGACUGGAUAUUUUAUCAAGAAGAAGAGAGACUAGUCCAUAAACUGUCUCAAUAAAACUGAUUCAUUACUGUACGUGGAAACAGAAACUUUUAUUGAAAAGAUAAAACUUAUCGAGACGUUAUCGUGUCUGCAGAUAAACAUAUAUACAUAUACAGAGAUUAUGAUCAAUUCCGG